AAUAGAUACCCGGGUAGUCCACGCCGUAAACGUUGGGCGCUAGAUGUGGGGGCCAUUCCACGGUUUCCGCGUCGUAGCUAACGCAUUAAGCGCCCCGCCUGGGGAGUACGGCCGCAAGGCUAAAACUCAAAGGAAUUGACGGGGGCCCGCACAAGCGGCGGAGCAUGCGGAUUAAUUCGAUGCGACGCGAAGAACCUUACCAAGGCUUGACAUAUACGAGAACACUGCAGAAAUGUAGGACUCUUUGGACACUCGUAUACAGGUGGUGCAUGGUUGUCGUCAGCUCGUGUCGUGAGAUGUUGGGUUAAGUCCCGCAACGAGCGCAACCCUCGUCGCAUGUUGCCAGCACGUAAAGGUGGGAACUCAUGUGAGACUGCCGGGGUCAACUCGGAGGAAGGUGGGGAUGACGUCAAAUCAUCAUGCCCCUUAUGUCUUGGGCUUCACGCAUGCUACAAUGGCCGGUACAAAGGGCUGCAAUACCGUAAGGUGGAGCGAAUCCCAAAAAGCCGGUCUCAGUUCGGA
rnacentral:rRNA from 1 species